AGAGUUUGAUUCUGGCUCAAGAUGAACGCCGGCGGUGUGCCUAAUACAUGCAAGUCGUACGCACUGGCCCAACUGAUUGAUGGUGCUUGCACCUGAUUGACGAUGGAUCACCAGUGAGUGGCGGACGGGUGAGUAACACGUAGGUAACCUGCCUCGGAGCGGGGGAUAACAUUUCGGAAACAGAUGCUAAUACCGCAUAACAACAAAAGCCACAUGGCUUUUGUUUGAAAGAUGGCUUUGGCUAUCACUCUGGGAUGGACCUGCGGUGCAUUAGCUAGUUGGUAAGGUAACGGCUUACCAAGGCAAUGAUGCAUAGCCGAGUUGAGAGACUGAUCGGCCACAAUGGAACUGAGACACGGUCCAUACUCCUACGGGAGGCAGCAGUAGGGAAUCUUCCACAAUGGGCGCAAGCCUGAUGGAGCAACACCGCGUGAGUGAAGAAGGGUUUCGGCUCGUAAAGCUCUGUUGUUGGAGAAGAACGUGCGUGAGAGUAACUGUUCACGCAGUGACGGUAUCCAACCAGAAAGUCACGGCUAACUACGUGCCAGCAGCCGCGGUAAUACGUAGGUGGCAAGCGUUAUCCGGAUUUAUUGGGCGUAAAGCGAGCGCAGGCGGUUGCUUAGGUCUGAUGUGAAAGCCUUCGGCUUAACCGAAGAAGUGCAUCGGAAACCGGGCGACUUGAGUGCAGAAGAGGACAGUGGAACUCCAUGUGUAGCGGUGGAAUGCGUAGAUAUAUGGAAGAACACCAGUGGCGAAGGCGGCUGUCUGGUCUGCAACUGACGCUGAGGCUCGAAAGCAUGGGUAGCGAACAGGAUUAGAUACCCUGGUAGUCCAUGCCGUAAACGAUGAGUGCAAGGUGUGAGAGGGGUUCAGACCUUCAGUGCCGGAGCUUAGGCAAUAAGCAUUCCGCCUGGGGUGUACGGCUGCAGGGUUGAAAUUAAAAGGAAUUGUCGGGGGCCCGCUCAGCGGGGGGAGCAUGUGGUUAAUUUCGAAGCUACGCGAAGAACCUUACCAGGUCUUGACAUGUUGCGCUAACCUUAGAGAUAAGGCGUUCCCUUCGGGGACGCAAUGACAGGUGGUGCAUGGUCGUCGUCAGCUCGUGUCGUGAGAUGUUGGGUUAAGUCCCGCAACGAGCGCAACCCUUGUUUCUAGUUGCCAGCAUUAAGUUGGGCACUCUAGUGAGACUGCCGGUGACAAACCGGAGGAAGGUGGGGACGACGUCAGAUCAUCAUGCCCCUUAUGACCUGGGCUACACACGUGCUACAAUGGACGGUACAACGAGUCGCAAGCUCGCGAGAGUAAGCUAAUCUCUUAAAGCCGUUCUCAGUUCGGACUGUAGGCUGCAACUCGCCUACACGAAGUCGGAAUCGCUAGUAAUCGCGGA
rnacentral:rRNA from 1 species